CCUACGGGUGGCAGCAGUGAGGAAUAUUGGUCAAUGGGCGAGAGCCUGAACCAGCCAAGUCGCGUGAGGGAAGACGGUCCUAUGGAUUGUAAACCUCUUUUGUCGGGGACCAAAAGGCCUCGUGAGGCCACAAGUGAGAGUACCCGAAGAAAAAGCAUCGGCUAACUCCGUGCCAGCAGCCGCGGUAAUACGGAGGAUGCGAGCGUUAUCCGGAUGUAUUGGGUUUAAAGGGUGCGUAGGCGGUCGGAUAAGUUAGAGGUGAAAUCCCGAGGCUCAACUUCGGAAUUGCCUCUGAUACUGUUCGGCUAGAGAGUAGUUGCGGUAGGCGGAAUGUAUGGUGUAGCGGUGAAAUGCUUAGAGAUCAUACAGAACACCGAUUGCGAAGGCAGCUUACCAAGCUACUUCUGACGUUGAGGCACGAAAGCGUGGGGAGCAAACAGGAUUAGAUACCCCUGUAGUC
rnacentral:rRNA from 1 species